AGGAACAGGUACAAAUCCUCUCUGGACAGGUGGCUGACCUGGAGAAGGUUUGCUUCGAAUGAAAAGCAAAGGACAGGGAGUGCAGGUGACGGUUUGGAGGUCACGGGUGUUGGAGCUCACGGGUGUUGGAUGUUUGCUGGCUGUUUGUUUCACGGGUAGUUUGACUUUAGUCACGGGAAAGUGUACCAUUUUGUUUCUGGGUACACAUAAUAUGUAUCACCGAUGUCAGUAAAGACGCGCUCCAUCUCCAUCUCAGUAAAGACGCGCUCCAUCUCCAUCUCAGUAAAGACGCUCUCCAUCUCCAUCUCCAUCUCAGUAAAGACGCUCUCCAUCUCAGUCAAACUGCCAUACGGGCAACUCAAACACACAAACAAGGUAAUGCCAAAAAAUAUAUGAUUAUGAAAAAUAAAAAGAUUAUGCAAUAUAAAUGAAACAAAAAAUAUAGGAUUAUGAAAAAUAAUUGAUUAAGAAAAAUUUAGGAUUAUGAAAAUAAAUGAUUAUGAAAAAAAUAGGAUUAUGAAAAAUAAAUGAUUAUGAAAAAUAAAUGAUUAAGAAAAAUAAAUGAUUAAGAAAAAUUUAGGAUUAUGAAAAAUAUAGGAUUAUGAAUAAUAAAUGAUUAUGAAAAAUAUAGGAUUAUGAAUAAUAAAUGAUUAUGAAAAAAAUAGGAUUAUGAAAAAUAAAUGAUUAUGAAAAAUAAAUGAUUCUGAAAAAUAAAUGAUUAUGAAAAAUAAAAAUGAUUAGGAAAAAUAUAAAAAAAUUGAUGGAGUUACAAACCCCCUACUUGCCUUUUGUAGGAAGGAAAUCAUAAAUAAAUUGCUUGACAAAUGUCUUCCUCAUCAAGUGAUGAAGUUGAUGAAGCUUUAGACGAAAUAGUCGACCAAGUAGUUGACAAUUUCAUCGACGCAAUAGUUGAUGGUCAAGCCAACAAGCCGAGGAGACGAGCUUAUAUCGAAAGAGAUCGGGAAGUAGGACACAAUCAACUAUGGAACGAUUAUUUCAAGGAAAAUCCUACAUACCCACCGGAAAUGUUUAGGAGGCGUUUUCGAAUGAACAAGCCAUUGUUCCUUCGCAUUGUCGAACGUAUAAGUAAUGAAGUUCCAUACUUUCAGCAAAGACGAAAUGCUCACGGAAGGAACGGGCUAUCUGCACUUCAAAAGUGUACGGCAGCUAUACGUAUGCUGGCAUAUGGUCAAUCGGGAGAUACAUAUGACGAAUAUCUCCGACUUGGUGACAGUACAUCACGUUUGUGUUUGGCAAAUUUCACUGAUGCAAUAAUACAAUUGUUUGGAGAAGAGUAUUACGAAAACCUACAGCCGAGGAUCUUCAACGCUUACUCGAUGUUGGAGAGGUACGGGGGUUUCCGGGGAUGAUAGGCAGCAUCGACUGCAUGCAUUGGGAGUGGAAAAACUGCCCAACGGCUUGGAAAGGUCAGUUCACACGUGGUUCAGGAAAGCCGACAAUUGUCUUAGAAGCCGUGGCAUCACAAGAUCUUUGGAUAUGGCACGCAUUUUUCGGCUUACCAGGUACCCUCAACGAUAUCAAUGUUCUUGAUCGGUCACCUGUUUUUGAUGACAUCUUACAUGGUCGAGCACCUAAAGUUAAGUUCAAGGUCAACAACCACACUUAUCGUAUGGCCUACUAUCUUACUGACGGAAUUUAUCCAAACUGGUCAACAUUUAUCCAAUCCAUCCCACUUCCUCAAGGUCCUAAAGCCGAGAAAUUUGCAGAAAAGCAAGAAUCCGCCAGAAAAGAUGUCGAACGGGCUUUUGGAGUAUUGCAAUCGAGGUUUGCAAUUGUUAAAAACCCAGCUCUACAAUGGGACAAGGAGAAGAUAGGAAAGAUCAUGAGAACUUGUGUCAUAUUGCACAAUAUGAUAGUAGAGAACGAACGACACGGAUACGCUCAAAUUGAUACUUCUGAGUUCGAGUCAGGAGAAUCAAGCAGAAGUUCGAGGGUGACUAGGAGAGAAAGUAUUCAUGUCGGUGAUAUGUUAGGCAUGCGCAGAGAAGUUCGAGAUCCAGAGAAGCAUGCUCGUUUGAAAGCUGAUUUAAUGGAAAAUAUAUGGCAAAAGUUCGGUGACGAAAAUGAAUAAAUAAGUUAUGUAUGUUAGAAAAAUUUCUCAUUUAUGUAAUGUACUUUUAAUGUAUUGAAUAAAAUGUUUUCAUAAUUUUAAUAAUAUGUUUUAAUAUUUCAUUCAUCUUUUCUGAAUAUUUUAAAUUUUUUUUUUUAAAUUAAUAUUAUUAUUUUAUUCCUAUGAACUCCUUCUUCGGGUUCACUAAUGCAGAAAACAGCAUAUCCGAGUUCAUAACUGUUCAUGGGCCCACGAAAAAAUAAUAAAAAAUGUUGGUGAACCCCAAAGAGGGGUUCACCAAUGCUCAUGCUCUUAGAGCAUGUUUAUCGGUAGGUUUCUAACACAAGUUCUCAAAAUAAAAAAUAAAUAAAAUAAUGAAAAGUUAUGAAAGAGAAAUGAAAAAGGUUCUAAAACAACAACUUUUAAGAUACAGUUUCAAAACGUACUCACAUAUAUGUCAUUGGUUUUACUCUUUACAGAAAAAAAAUAUAUUAUAAUAUUAAUAGUUUUUUUAGCAACUCUUAUCAGUUCUAACAGAUAUUCAUGCUCUUAGAACCUGCAACAAACUAUGGAUGUUAGUGAUAGCAAUAAACAGUAACUACUUCAAGGAAAUAAAAAAAGUUUGCUCCAUCGGUCCCAGUAUCCAGGAACAUAAGUCCAGCAGGCAGUUGCUGAACAAUCUAAAAUAUGAUCUUGGAUUGAAUGAUGUCUUUUUAUCUUCUGCAUCCUUCUGAAUAGAUCUUUCAGUAACAACCAUAGUUUACAACCAGUAAUCAUUAUCAUACCCACGCAAUUUUCUCCACCAUUAAUAGUGUGAAAGUGUUAUAUUAUUUCCAAUAAAGUAAAACGGUAUCAUGAUGGAGUCUGAGCUUGCUGAGGAGAUUGCACAGCUCCAGGAUGGAUUUCUUCUGAAAUAUACAGUGUGCAACAUAGAGUUCUUAAGAACAUUACUUCAUACAAAAAAAUUUUCUAAUCCUUUAUAUAUUAAAGGAUAAGUCACUCGACCAAUAAUAUAUUGCCACAUAAUUUACUAAAUAUUUUUUUUAAA